CCGACCAGCUUACAACCGGCGCCCAGCGCCUGGCAGCCUGGCGAGGAGGCCAAUGCGGCCACCAGGUCGGGGCCCGUCCCCGAGAGAGGCUUACUUUAAGACCGGUCACUUCUGCAAGGAAGGAAAGGAGGAAGAGACUGGCUCAAUUCUCUGGAAGUUGGGCAUAAUUGGUACCACUGGAACAAAGCAAGGAGUGGG